rnacentral:rRNA from 1 species
AUUGAACGCUGGCGGCAGGCCUAACACAUGCAAGUAGAGCGAGUGGCGGACGGGUGAGUAAUGUAUGGGGAACUGCCCGAUGGAGGGGGAUAACUACUGGACACGGUGGCUUAUACCGCAUACCAUCGGAUGUACCCAUAGUGGAUUAGCUAGUAGGUGGGGUAAUGGCCCACCUAGGCGACGAUCUCUAGCUGGUCUGAGAGGAUGAUCAGCCACCCUGGAACUGAGACACGGCCCAGACUCCUACGGGAGGCAGCAGUGGGAAAUAUUGCACAGUGGGCGCAAGCCGGAUGCAGCCAUGCCGCGUGUAUGAAGAAGGCCUUAGGGUUGUAAAGUACUUUCGGCGGGGAGGCGUUACCCGCAGAAGAAGCACCGGCUAACUCCGUGCCAGCAGCCGCGGUAAUUC